AUGGUGGUGCAGUGCAGUGGAAAUGUCGUCCUGCCUCUAUCCAUUAUACUCCAUGUGAAGCCAACAAGCUCACUGCUCAGUUGGAACCAUCGAAUCUUUCCGUUGCAUAGAAUCGGUCACCAUCGAGCACCGCCUGCACAUAUGGACAAACAAACAAUGGUCCGUUUGAGAGAGAUUGUAUUAUUCAUCUUGGUGUCUCAGCCAUUCUUCUGCCCAUGUCUAAUAAAAAUAAGCAGCAGUUGUCUUGUAGUACGAAUCAAUUUAUGUGUCAAAAUGUGUGCUGUUUUGAGUUCAUAUGAGACUUUUCAAAACAUGGACACGAGAUCCUCAAACAAUGGAUAUUCUGGAGUUAAAUUCGUAUUUGCAGAGAAUGGGUUUCUACGGGCACCGGCCUUAAAUUUACGUGGAUGUGUAACAGGUCUUGUUUGGAGCCAGGUGUGGAAAUGUGGAUUUAUGUAUCUUAUACCUAAAUAA
rnacentral:rRNA from 1 species